GGCAAACAAGAGGAGGAACUCCAAACCUGAGGCUCCUCACAUGGAGAUCGCUGGGGAAGAGGGAACACCAUCAGUCACAGACGGCAGGAAUGGACCGGCCAGGUGUCAUCACCAUCCAAAGAACAGGCUGCAGCCAUGAGAGGAGCCAGAAGACUGCACCCCUGGAGAUGAAGAAGCCAGUGCCCCAGAGGAUGCGUUAUCAUCUGCCUCAUUAUCCAUCUCCGCCAGCACAAUUACACCCACAUGGUCCAUGGAGAGGGUCACAUCGAGUAAAUCUGAUGCUGCCUGACCUACUGAGUGCUUCCAACAUUUUCUGUUUGAAAUUCAAUCACAGACAUUGGUGUCAUUUACAAAUUGUUCAAGCUUCACGUUGAAAGUUUAUGAUAUCCUCAGAAGCACAGAAUUAAAUUAUUGGCAUGUAAAUGACUGCUAGCUAGGCAUUAUCUUGCAUUCAUUCUAAGUAUGUUUAUUUUUAAACAGUAAAUAGCUGUUUACUACUGAGCCAAUAUAUUAAAAUAUUACCUGGCCACUAGAUCAAUUACUAUUUGCCAGAUAAAUAAAUAACCUUUCAGUAUUGAUUUUUGCUCCAGUUCCUGAAAUGUCUAGCAGUUCAGUCAAUUGCAAUAAAAAUUCUCCCAGGUUUUGAACAGUACAGCUACAAACAGCCAGAAUCUCAGAAGAAUAGAUUGUGAGCUUUAGACUAUAAUGCAGGAAGCCAGUAAGUCCUGUUUAAUCACAAUUCCUUGCCUCAGAUUGAUGUAGAUUUUAAAAUGGUUUUUCCAAAGUGAAGCUUCAGGCAAGCUCAGUUCCUGUAAGAUCGAAGUACAGUACUACCUCCUUCUGAAAACUCCACUGCACAAAAGCCCUGUUGGAUACAGUGUCAAAUAUAUCCUGUGAUGGGCAGUCGAGCAGUGGGAACCUUUGCAACAUUUUUCAAAAACAAUUUUCAAUCACGACUCCAAAUAAAAACAAACAUUUUAUAGUUGACACUGCUUUGUAAUUAUAAUCAAUUUUUAAAAAUCUUGCCGAUCCCUUUCUUGAUCAUCUUAUGCAACGCUAUCCAUAAGCAAAGAGUCAAUGAUCUGUUCUAACAAUCAGGAGGUGCACAAGGUGACUUUCCUUUCUGGUUCUUGUCACUUCUUGGGGUCACAGCUGAGAUUUUGGCCAUGAACUCAGUAUCCCUCAUUUUGCAGCCCAAUACAUAGGAUUCCCCAGAGGAAUGCUCUCUCUCUCUCUCUCUCGGUCUCUCCUGUUACUUUCCAGAAAUCCCAGUGGUGAAGGCUAAGAUAGGAGCCAAUCUUUAUAUACUUGUAUAAGCAUUUAUCCACAUUACAAGAAUUGACCUCCUAAACCCAAACCCCAGUUCCUAAUUACAGGAGCCCAAAUGAAUUCCUACAUAAUUUCCACGACCUUCAUCCAAUUAAAAACAGUUAAUAUACAAGUAACAUCUCCCCACCUAUGAACCUGAGAAAUUGCCAUCAAAGAACAUCCUACCAGACAAGGAAAUACUUUGAAAAAUCCAAUUGCAGAGAGUUUCUGACCUUGCAGAAUAUCCUGAGCAAUUUAUUAAAGGUAU